rfam:Felis catus isolate Cinnamon breed Abyssinian chromosome E3, whole genome shotgun sequence.
ACCUGGCUGGCUCAGUGGGAAGAGCAUGUGACUCUUGAUCUCAGGGUCAUGGGUUCGAGACCCACUUUGGGUG